GGGGUUGUGGCUCAGCGGUAGAGUGCUCGCCUAGCAUGUGUGAGGCCCUGGGUUCAAUCCUCAGCACCACA
rnacentral:tRNA from 1 species